rnacentral:rRNA from 1 species
UAGUGAUUAGAGUUUGAUCAUGGCUCAGAUUGAACGCUGGCGGCAUGCCUUACACAUGCAAGUCGAACGGCAGCACGGGAGCAAUCCUGGUGGCGAGUGGCGAACGGGUGAGUAAUACAUCGGAACGUGUCCUGUAGUGGGGGAUAGCCCGGCGAAAGCCGGAUUAAUACCGCAUACGAUCUGCGGAUGAAAGCGGGGGAUCUUCGGACCUCGCGCUGCAGGGGCGGCCGAUGGCAGAUUAGCUAGUUGGUGGGGUAAAGGCCUACCAAGGCGACGAUCUGUAGCUGGUCUGAGAGGACGACCAGCCACACUGGGACUGAGACACGGCCCAGACUCCUACGGGAGGCAGCAGUGGGGAAUUUUGGACAAUGGGCGCAAGCCUGAUCCAGCAAUGCCGCGUGUGUGAAGAAGGCCUUCGGGUUGUAAAGCACUUUUGUCCGGAAAGAAAACGCCCGGGUUAAUACCCUGGGCGGAUGACGGUACCGGAAGAAUAAGCACCGGCUAACUACGUGCCAGCAGCCGCGGUAAUACGUAGGGUGCAAGCGUUAAUCGGAAUUACUGGGCGUAAAGCGUGCGCAGGCGGUCCGCUAAGACAGAUGUGAAAUCCCCGGGCUUAACCUGGGAACUGCAUUUGUGACUGGCGGGCUAGAGUAUGGCAGAGGGGGGUAGAAUUCCACGUGUAGCAGUGAAAUGCGGCUAUUUAGGUGACACUAGAGUUUGAUCCUGGCUCAGGGUCAGCUUAACGCGUGAAGUUGACC